rnacentral:rRNA from 1 species
AUUGAACGCUGGCGGCAUGCUUUACACAUGCAAGUCGAACGGCAGCACGGGGGCAACCCUGGUGGCGAGUGGCGGACGGGUGAGUAAUAUAUCGGAACGUGCCCUAGAGUGGGGGACAACCAGUCGAAAGAUUGGCUAAUACCGCAUACGAUCUCUGGAUGAAAGUGGUGGACCGCAAGGCCUCACGCUCCUGGAGCGGCCGAUAUCUGAUUAGCUAGUUGGUGGGGUAAAGGCCUACCAAGGCGACGAUCAGUAGCUGGUCUGAGAGGACGAUCAGCCACACUGGGACUGAGACACGGCCCAGACUCCUACGGGAGGCAGCAGUGGGGAAUUUUGGACAAUGGGCGAAAGCCUGAUCCAGCAAUGCCGCGUGAGUGAAGAAGGCCUUCGGGUUGUAAAGCUCUUUUGUCAGGGAAGAGACGGUGGGGGUUAAUACCCUCUGCUAAUGACGGUACCUGAAGAAUAAGCACCGGCUAACUACGUGCCAGCAGCCGCAGUAACAC